rnacentral:sRNA from 1 species
UAUUCUUGAGAUAUCGCCGAUGGCAUC